AAUGAACGCUGGCGGCAGGCCUAACACAUGCAAGUCGAGCGAACGGACGGGGAGCUUGCCUCUCUGCUGUUAACGGCGGGCGAGUUAGUCCUACGUGUGUGACCGCUCUAUGAGACUGGGAUAAAUACCGGAAACCGCAUCUAGUACCAGGUAUUAUUGUGAACGGCAUGGUUCACAAGUGAUUAACCAUCUGGCUGUCACUUAGACUUCUAUGCACGCUGCAUUAGCUAGUUCGUAAGGUAACGGCCUACCAAGGCUACGAUGCAUAACGGCCCUGAGAGGGUGAUCAGCCACACUGGAACUGAGACACGGUCCAGACUCCUACGGGAGGCAGCAGUAGGGAAUAUUCCGCAAUGGGCGAAAGGCUGAUGGAGCAACGCCGCGGGAGGGAUGAAGGUCUUCGGAUGGUAAAGCGCUGUAAGUAGGGAGGAAGAUAAGUGAAAGAAACUGUGCAGAUCUUGACGGUACCUAAAGAAGAAGCCCCGGCUAACUUCGUG
rnacentral:rRNA from 1 species